rnacentral:rRNA from 1 species
GACGGAGGGUGCUAGCGUUGUUCGGAAUCACUGGGCGUAAAGGGCGCGUAGGCGGCCUCAGGUGUCGGAUGUGAAAGCCCGGGGCUCAACCCCGGAGGUGCAUCCGAAACUGGCAGGCUAGAGUACUAAAGAGGGUCGCGGAAUUCCCGGUGUAGAGGUGAAAUUCGUAGAUAUCGGGAGGAACACCGGUGGCGAAGGCGGCGACCUGGGUAGAUACUGACGCUGAGGUGCGAAAGCGUGGGGAGCAAACAGG